AGAGGCUGGCACUGGGACACAU
rnacentral:miRNA from 1 species